rnacentral:rRNA from 1 species
AUAAGUAGGGGGCGAGCGUUGUCCGGAAUGAUUGGGCGUAAAGGGCGCGUAGGCGGCCCGGUAAGUCUGGAGUGAAAGUCCUGUUUUUAAGAUGGGAAUUGCUUUGGAUACUGUCGGGCUUGAGUGCAGGAGAGGAAAGUGGAAUUCCCAGUGUAGCGGUGAAAUGCGUAGAGAUUGGGAGGAACACCAGUGGCGAAGGCGACUUACUGGACUGUAACUGACGCUGAGGCGCGAAAGUGUGGGGAGCAAACAGGAUUAGAUACCCUGGUAGUCCACACUGUAAACGAUGAAUGCUAGGUGUAGGGGGUAUCGACCCCUUCUGCGCCGCAGGCAACACAAUAAGCAUUCUGCCUGGGGAGUACGGCCGCAAGGUUGAAACUUAAAGGAAUUGACGGGG